GCCGGGUGUGGUGGCUCACACCUGUAAUCCCAGCACUUUGGGAGGCUGAGGCAGGCGGAUCAUCUGAGGUCGGGAGUUCAAGACCAGCCUGACCAACAUGGAGAAACCCUGCCUCUA
ensembl:misc_RNA Metazoa_SRP Metazoan signal recognition particle RNA